rnacentral:rRNA from 1 species
GAUGAACGCUAGCUACAGGCUUAACACAUGCAAGUCGAGGGGUAACGAGAGGAAAGCUUGCUUUCCUUGUCGACGACCGGCGCACGGGUGAGUAACGCGUAUCCAACCUGCCCCCAACUAGGGAAUAACCUUGCGAAAGCAAGACUAAUACCCUAUAAUUUCCUCAGAUGACAUCUGACGAGGAAUAAAGAUUUAUCGGUUGUGGAUGGGGAUGCGUCUGAUUAGAUUGUUGGCGGGGUAACGGCCCAACAAGGCAACGAUCAGUAGGGGUUCUGAGAGGAAGGUCCCCCACAUUGGAACUGAGACACGGUCCAAACUCCUACGGGAGGCAGCAGUGAGGAAUAUUGGUCAAUGGGCGGAAGCCUGAACCAGCCAAGUAGCGUGCAGGAUGACGGCCCUAUGGGUUGUAAACUGCUUUUAUACAGGAAUAAAGUUAGCCACGUGUGGUUAUUUGUAGGUACUGUAUGAAUAAGGACCGGCUAAUUCCGUGCCAGCCGCCGCAGUAA